GACGAACGCUGGCGGCGUGCUUAACAUAUGCAAGUCGAACGGAAAGGCCCCUUUGGGGGUCCUCGAGUGGCGAACGGGUGAGUAACACGUGAGUAACCUGCCCUUGACUUCGGGAUAACUUCAGGAAACUGGGGCUAAUACCGGAUAGGAAUCCUUGCUGCAUGGUGGGGGUUGGAAAGCUUCGGCGGUUUUGGAUGGACUCGCGGCUUAUCAGCUUGUUGGUGGGGUAGUGGCUUACCAAGGCUUUGACGGGUAGCCGGCCUGAGAGGGCGACCGGCCACAUUGGGACUGAGAUACGGCCCAGACUCCUACGGGAGGCAGCAGUGGGGAAUAUUGCACAAUGGGCGGAAGCCUGAUGCAGCAACGCCGCGUGCGGGAUGACGGCCUUCGGGUUGUAAACCGCUUUCAGCAGGGGCGAAGCUUGUGGUGACGGUACCUGCAGAAGAAGCACCGGCUAACUACGUG
rnacentral:rRNA from 1 species